AACGCGAAGAACCUUACCUGGGCUCGAAGUGCUGCUGACCAGCGGUAGAAAUAUCGCCUUCUCGCAAGAGACAGUAGUAGAGGUGCUGCAUGGCUGUCGUCAGCUCGUGCCGUGAGGUGUUGGGUUAAGUCCCGCAACGAGCGCAACCCUUACUCUUAGUUGCCACCCGCAAGGGGGAACUCUAAGAGGACUGCUCCGGAUAACGGAGAGGAAGGUGGGGAUGACGUCAAGUCAGCAUGGCCUUUAUGUCCAGGGCUACACACGUGUUACAAUGCAUGGUACAGACCGUCGCGAACCCGCGAGGGGGAGCUAAUCGGAAAAAGCCAUGCUCAGUUCGGACUGCAGUCUGCAACUCGACUGCACGAAGCCGGAAUCGCUAGUAAUGCCGUAUCAGAACGACGGCGUGAAUACGUUCCCGGGCCUUGUACACACCGCAUAC
rnacentral:rRNA from 1 species